AGAGUUUGAUCCUGGCUCAGGACGAACGCUGGCGGCGUGCCUAAUACAUGCAAGUGGAACGCAUUGGUAACACCGGACUUGCUCCAGUGUUACUAAUGAGUCGCGAACGGGUGAGUAACGCGUAGGUAACCUGCCUGAUAGCGGGGGAUAACUAUUGGAAACGAUAGCUAAUACCGCAUAAGAGGAGUUAACUCAUGUUAACUGUUUAAAAGAAGCCAUUGCUUCACUAUCAGAUGGACCUGCGUUGUAUUAGCUAGUAGGUAGGGUAACGGCCUACCUAGGCAACGAUACAUAGCCGACCUGAGAGGGUGAACGGCCACACUGGGACUGAGACACGGCCCAGACUCCUACGGGAGGCAGCAGUAGGGAAUCUUCGGCAAUGGACGCAAGUCUGACCGAGCAACGCCGCGUGAGUGAAGACGGUUUUCGGAUCGUAAAGCUCUGUUGUAGGGGAAGAACGUGUGUAAGAGUGGAAAGCUUACACAGUGACGGUACCCUACCAGAAAGGGACGGCUAACUACGUGCCAGCAGCCGCGGUAAUACGUAGGUCCCGAGCGUUGUCCGGAUUUAUUGGGCGUAAAGCGAGCGCAGGCGGUUAGAUAAGUCUGAAGUUAAAGGCUGUGGCUUAACCAUAGUACGCUUUGGAAACUGUUUAACUUGAGUGCAGAAGGGGAGAGUGGAAUUCCAUGUGUAGCGGUGAAAUGCGUAGAUAUAUGGAGGAACACCGGUGGCGAAAGCGGCUCUCUGGUCUGUCACUGACGCUGAGGCUCGAAAGCGUGGGUAGCGAACAGGAUUAGAUACCCUGGUAGUCCACGCCGUAAACGCUGAGUGCUAGGUGUUAGGUCCUUUCCGGGACUUAGUGCCGACGCUAACGCAUUAAGCACUCCGCCUGGGGAGUACGACCGCAAGGUUGAAACUCAAAGGAAUUGACGGGGGCCCGCACAAGCGGUGGA
rnacentral:rRNA from 1 species